AGUAGUUAGUUAUCCGUGCUCGAGAUAGACGCUGGCGGCGUGCUUAACACAUGCAAGUCGAACGGAACUGUCUAUUUUUGAAGCAAUUAGCUUGCUAAGGGUGGAAUGUUGGCUAGUUUAGUGGCGGACGGGUGAGUAACGCGUGGGUAACCUGCCUUACACGAGGGGGAUAACACCUGGAAACAGGUGCUAAUACCGCAUAACAGGAAGAGGCGCAUGCCACUUUUCUUAGAAAACUCCGGUGGUGUAAGAUGGACCCGCGUCUGAUUAGCUGGUUGGCGGGGUAACGGCCCACCAAGGCGACGAUCAGUAGCCGGCCUGAGAGGGUGGACGGCCACAUUGGGACUGAGACACGGACCCAAACUCCUACGGGGAGGCAGCAGGUGGGGAAUAUUGGACAAUGGGGGGAACCCUGAUCCAGCGACGCCGCGUGAGUGAAGAAGUAUUUCGGUAUGUAAAGCUCUAUCAGCAGGGAAGAAAGAAAUGACGGUACCUGACUAAGAAGCCCCGGCUAACUACGUG
rnacentral:rRNA from 1 species